rnacentral:rRNA from 1 species
GUAAAGCACUUUCAGUCGUGAGGAAGGCGGGUACGUUAAUAGCGUAUUCGUUUGACGUUAGCGACAGAAGAAAGCACCGGCUAACUCCGUGCCAGCAGCCGCGGUAAUACGGAGGGUGCGAGCGUUAAUCGGAAUUACUGGGCGUAAAGCGCAUGCAGGUGGUUUGUUAAGUCAGAUGUGAAAGACCCGGGGCGUCAACCUCGGAAUAGCAUUUGUAAACUAGGCAGACUAGAGUACUGUAGAGGGGGGUAGGAAUUUCAGGUGUAGCGGUGAAAUGCGUAGAGAUCUGAAGGAAUACCGGUGGCGAAGGCGGCCCCCUCGGACAGAUACUGACACUCAGAUGCGAAAGCGUGGGGAGCAAACAGGAUUAGAUACCCUGGUAG